rnacentral:lncRNA from 1 species
CAGAAGGACUAAUUUUGUUUUCAUCUCAAUCUUGAAUACCUAGCACAAUUACUGUAUCGGUGCUGAAUAAAGGUUUGCCAAAUAAUUUUAUUUUGAAUCCUUGAACGGACGCUUAGCAGUCCAUAGUUGAUUUCUGGGCAUGCAACUCUUUAUGUCUGUAUUAAGAAUGAUAUAUUAUGUGUUUUAUGAAUUUGUAUUUCUGUAUUAAGAGAUAAGAACUCACGUCAAAGUUGUACCAUUGUGAGAAACAAAUAGGAAAGGACAGCCUUAGGCAAUUUUGCAAGAGCCUAUUUUUCCAUUUAAAGUAAACAGCAGAUGUUUUGGGAGGGAAGAUGCCCUUUUCAAUCCUGGGCAUUUUCACAACCAACCAGUGAGAUGAGUGUUGGUACCACUGUUUACAGAGAACAGAACUCUAUGAUUCUGUCACUUGCUAGUGAGCAGGCCUAGCAGAGAGAGGACUAGGUUCAUGGUCCAAGUAAGGAGCUAGUACACAAAGUACUCUCGGUUCUUGCUCAGAGAGGAAAUCCACUCUCAUGGGUCAACCACUUGCAAAGAGCACCUGCUGCUUCGGGAGGCUAACGGGAGUUGUGUUUCUAGUCACACUGUUACCAGGACUCCCUGGAGUCCUCCGCAGCCUUGCAAGGCGCGCCUCUGCCCAUCCCGAGCGUCACUGCGCCUGCGCACAUCAUCCCUAUGACAUCACGGCCUGGGGCCGCGACUGCGUCCGCGCACGUCAUCUUCAUGAUGUCGGGGCCUCCCUGGCCUUCAGUGGCGAUUGCGUAUGCGCCCGGAGCAGCUGGCGGAACAGGUCCUCGGGCGGCGGCUUCCGGUUUGGUGACCGCACCUGCGGCUCCGCUUCUGUUAAACCA